UACGAAGGGGGCUAGCGUUGCUCGGAAUCACUGGGCGUAAAGGGUGCGUAGGCGGGUCUUUAAGUCGGGGGUGAAAUCCUGGAGCUCAACUCCAGAACUGCCUUCGAUACUGGCAAUCUUGAGUCCGGGAGAGGUGAGUGGAACUCCGAGUGUAGAGGUGAAAUUCGUAGAUAUUCGGAAGAACACCAGUGGCGAAGGCGGCUCACUGGCCCGGUACUGACGCUGAGGUGCGAAAGCGUGGGGAGCAAACAGG
rnacentral:rRNA from 1 species